rnacentral:rRNA from 1 species
UGCGCAGGCGGAAUAUUAAGUCAGUGGUGAAAUCCUACAGCUCAACUGUAGAACUGCCAUUGAUACUGAUAUUCUUGAGUAUAGUUGUAGUGGGCGGAAUAUGUCAUGUAGCGGUGAAAUGCUUAGAUAUGACAUAGAACACCGAUCGCGAAGGCAGCUCACUAAACUAUAACUGACACUCAGGCACGAAAGCGUGGGGAGCAAACAGGAUUAGAUACCCUGGUAGUCC